CCUACGGGAGGCAGCAGUCGAGAAUUUUUCUCAAUGGGGGAAACCCUGAAGGAGCGACGCCGCGUGGAGGAUGAAGGUCUUCGGAUUGUAAACUCCUGUCAUUAGGGAACAAUGCACUGGGUAGUAACUGACCUGGUGUUGAUAGUACUUAAAGAGGAAGAGACGGCUAACUCUGUGCCAGCAGCCGCGGUAAUACAGAGGUCUCAAGCGUUGUUCGGAUUCAUUGGGCGUAAAGGGUGCGUAGGUGGCGGUGUAAGUCGGAUGUGAAAUCUCGGGGCUCAACCCCGAAACUGCAUUCGAUACUGCUCUGCUAGAGGGCUGGAGAGGAGAUCGGAAUUCACGGUGUAGCAGUGAAAUGCGUAGAUAUCGUGAGGAAGACCAGUGGCGAAGGCGGAUCUCUGGACAGUUCCUGACACUGAGGCACGAAGGCUAGGGGAGCAAACGGGAUUAGAUACCCUAGUAGUC
rnacentral:rRNA from 1 species